GUUUGGUUUGGUUUGGUUUUCCUUCAGCCUUGUGUCAUACACUGAGCAGGAGACUGGAGACUACUGGAGACAUUUCUGAUGUGGUAUCUGUGCCUUGGUGUGAAGAACAAAAGUUGAAUGGAAAUACCACCAUGGAAGCACAAAACUUUACACAGUUGCACUCAAUGCAAUUUCUAACUUAGGUUCAUAAUUUAUAAACAUGCCAUAUACUUUUAUUUAUGAUAUCCCUAGAGUAAGAGUAGAAUUUUUUCACUGUAGGAAAUCUGCUUAUUCACUGUCAGUCCCUAUUUUCCCUUUUAAGUUUAUUUUUCUGUAAAGUCAUAUUUUCAAGUUUUUAAACAUUUGGCAGUAUGUUAUGGCUCAGGUACCAUAUCUAAACCUUAAAAUAGAUUAUUAUGUUGAACAUAGACUAUUUGCUGCUAGUGAAUGUUUUCAGUCUGGUGGAGAAAAAAAAUCAAAUAACUAUAAGACAUUGUAAUAACUGCAAUAUCAACAAUGUAAAUCAAAUGGCAAGAAAACCAGCAGGAAAAAAUUUUUCAGAGAACAUUAGAAAUGUUUUAAGGAUAGAGCAUCAACAACAUAAAAAUCACUUAUCAAAUCAGCUAAGUUGUGUCUCUAAGCCAUCUAAACACUUCUGGAAUGAAUUUCACUGCCACCUCAUCUUCCAAGGUAGUGGUCU